rnacentral:rRNA from 1 species
UAUUCCUGUACCACCUCCUCACCAUUUGAGCAAUGGGGGGACGCAGGAGGAUAGGGUAAGCGCGGUAUUGGAUAUCCGCGUCCAAGCAGUUAGGCUGGGAAAUAGGCAAAUCCGUUUCCCAUAAGGCUGAGCUGUGAUGGCGAGCGAAAUAUAGUAGCGAAGUUCCUGAUUCCACACUGCCAAGAAAAGCCUCUAGCGAGGUGAGAGGUGCCCGUACCGCAAACCGACACAGGUAGGCGAGGAGAGAAUCCUAAGGUGAUCGAGAGAACUCUCGUUAAGGAACUCGGCAAAAUGACCCCGUAACUUCGGGAGAAGGGGUGCUCUGUUAGGGUGCAAGCCCGAGAGAGCCGCAGUGAAUAGGCCCAGGCGACUGUUUAGCAAAAACACAGGUCUCUGCGAAGCCGUAAGGCGAAGUAUAGGGGCUGACGCCUGCCCGGUGCUGGAAGGUUAAGAGGAGCGCUUAGCGUAAGCGAAGGUGCGAAUUGAAGCCCCAGUAAACGGCGGCCGUAACAAUAACGGUCCUAAGGUAGCGAAAUUCCUUGUCGGGUAAGUUCCGACCCGCACGAAAGGCGCAACGAUCUGGGCACUGUCUCAACGAGAGACUCGGUGAAAUUAUAGUACCUGUGAAGAUGCAGGUUACCCGCGACAGGACGGAAAGACCCCGUGGAGCUUUACUGUAGCCUGAUAUUGAAUGUUGGUACAGCUUGUACAGGAUAGGUAGGAGCCUUGGAAACCGGAGCGCCAGCUUCGGUGGAGGCAUCGGUGGGAUACUACCCUGGCUGUAUUGACCUUCUAACCCGCCGCCCUUAUCGGGCGGGGAGACAGUAUCAGGUGGGCAGUUUGACUGGGGCGGUCGCCUCCUAAAAGGUAACGGAGGCGCCCAAAGGUUCCCUCAGAAUGGUUGGAAAUCAUUCGCAGAGUGUAAAGGCACAAGGGAGCUUGACUGCGAGACCUACAAGUCGAGCAGGGACGAAAGUCGGGCUUAGUGAUCCGGUGGUUCCGCAUGGAAGGGCCAUCGCUCAACGGAUAAAAGCUACCCCGGGGAUACAGGCUUAUCUCCCCCAAGAGUCCACAUCGACGGGGAGGUUUGGCACCUCGAUGUCGGCUCAUCGCAUCCUGGGGCUGUAGUCGGUCCCAAGGGUUGGGCUGUUCGCCCAUUAAAGCGGUACGCGAGCUGGGUUCAGAACGUCGUGAGACAGUUCGGUCCCUAUCCGUCGCGGGCGCAGGAAAUUUGAGAGGAGCUGUCCUUAGUACGAGAGGACCGGGAUGGACGCACCGCUGGUGUACCAGUUGUUCUGCCAAGGGCAUCGCUGGGUAGCUAUGUGCGGACGGGAUAAGUGCUGAAAGCAUCUAAGCAUGAAGCCCCCCUCAAGAUGAGAUUUCCCAUUCCGCAAGGAAGUAAGAUCCCUGAAAGAUGAUCAGGUUGAUAGGUCUGAGGUGGAAGUGUGGCGACACAUGGAGCUGACAGAUACUAAUCGAUCGAGGACUUAACC